AAAUAGAUACCCGGGUAGUCCACGCCGUAAACGAUGAAUGCUAGGUGUCAGGGGUUUCGAGACCCUUGGUGCCGAAGUUAACACAUUAAGCAUUCCGCCUGGGGGAGUACGGCCGCAAGGCUGAAACUCAAAGGAAUUGACGGGGGACCCGCACAAGCAGUGGAGCAUGUGGUUUAAUUCGAAGCAACGCGAAGAACCUUACCAGGUCUUGACAUCCCCCUGACCGGCGCAGAGAUGAGCCUUUCCCUUCGGGGACAGGGGAGACAGGUGGUGCAUGGUUGUCGUCAGCUCGUGUCGUGAGAUGUUGGGUUAAGUCCCGCAACGAGCGCAACCCUUAGGUCCAGUUGCCAGCACUUCGGGUGGGCACUCUGGAGCGACUGCCGGUGACAAACCGGAGGAAGGCGGGGAUGACGUCAAAUCAUCAUGCCCCUUAUGACCUGGGCUACACACGUGCUACAAUGGCCGGUACAAAGGGCAGCGAAGCCGCGAGGCGGAGCCAAUCCCAAAAACGCCGGUCUCAGUUCGGAUUGCAGG
rnacentral:rRNA from 1 species